UACGAAGGGUGCAAGCGUUAAUCGGAAUUACUGGGCGUAAAGAGCUCGUAGGCGGUUUGUCGCGUCUGCUGUGAAAACUGGAGGCUCAACCUCCAGCCUGCAGUGGGUACGGGCAAACUAGAGUGCGGUAGGGGAGAUUGGAAUUCCUGGUGUAGCGGUGGAAUGCGCAGAUAUCAGGAGGAACACCAGCGGCGAAGGCGGUGCUCUGGGCCGGAACUGACACUGAGGAGCGAAAGCGUGGGUAGCAAACAGG
rnacentral:rRNA from 1 species